GAUGAACGCUGGCGGCGUGCCUAACACAUGCAAGUCGAGCGGCAGCGAGGGGUGCUUGCACCCUGUCGGCGAGCGGCGGACGGCUGAGUAACGCGUGGGAACGUGCCCCAAAGUGAGGAAUAACUGCCCGAAAGGGUAGCUAAUACCGCAUAUUAUCUUCGGAUCAAAGGAUUUAUCCGCUUUGGGAGCGGCUCGCGUCGGAUUAGGUAGUUGGUGAGGUAAUGGCUCACCAAGCCGACGAUCCGUAGCUGGUCUGAGAGGAUGACCAGCCAGACUGGAACUGAGACACGGUCCAGACUCCUACGGGAGGCAGCAGUGAGGAAUCUUCCACAAUGGGCGAAAGCCUGAUGGAGCAACGCCGCGUGCAGGACGAAGGCCUUCGGGUUGUAAACUGCUUUUAUAAGUGAGGAAUAUGACGGUAACUUAUGAAUAAGGAUCGGCUAACUACGUGC
rnacentral:rRNA from 1 species